UACGUAGGGUGCGAGCGUUAAUCGGAAUUACUGGGCGUAAAGCGUGCGCAGGCGGCUUUGCAAGACAGAGGUGAAAUCCCCGGGCUCAACCUGGGAACUGCCUUUGUGACUGCAAGGCUAGAGUACGGCAGAGGGGGAUGGAAUUCCGCGUGUAGCAGUGAAAUGCGUAGAUAUGCGGAGGAACACCGAUGGCGAAGGCAAUCCCCUGGGCCGAAAUUGACGCUGAGGAGCGAAAGCGUGGGGAGCAAACAGG
rnacentral:rRNA from 1 species